rnacentral:misc_RNA from 1 species
UCUCCGUUGGUGAACCAGCGGAGGGAUCAUUACUGGAAUCGCAAGAUCCCACAACCCUGUGAACCUACCGAAACGUUGCCUCGGCGGGUGCCCGGCCUCUGCGCCGGGCGCUGCGCCCGCCGGCGGCCCCCUACUCUGUCUCUGCAGCGUGGCAUCUCAGAGUCCCAGAAAACAAGUCAAAACUUUCAACAACGGAUCUCUUGGCUCUAGCAGCGAUGAAGAACGCAGC